UUGAACGCUGGCGGCAGGCCUAACACAUGCAAGUCGAAUGGUAACAGGAAACAGCUUGCUGUUUCGCUGACGAGUGGCGGACGGGUGAGUAAUGUCUGGGAAACUGCCUGAUGGAGGGGGAUAACUACUGGAAACGGUAGCUAAUACCGCAUAACGUCGCAAGACCAAAGAGGGGGACCUUCGGGCCUCUUGCCAUCAGAUGUGCCCAGAUGGGAUUAGCUAGUAGGUGGGGUAACGGCUCACCUAGGCGACGAUCCCUAGCUGGUCUGAGAGGAUGACCAGCCACACUGGAACUGAGACACGGUCCAGACUCCUACGGGAGGCAGCAGUGGGGAAUAUUGCACAAUGGGCGCAAGCCUGAUGGAGCCAUGCCGCGUGUAUGAAGAAGGCCUUCGGGUUGUAAAGUACUUUCAGCGGGGAGGAAGGGAGUAAAGUUAAUACCUUUGCUCAUUGACGUUACCCGCAGAAGAAGCACCGGCUAACUCCGUG
rnacentral:rRNA from 1 species